rnacentral:rRNA from 1 species
AGGACGAACGCUUGCGACGUGCCUAAGAAAUGCAAGUCGAACGGGGUCAUCCUUCGGGGUGGCCUAGUGGCGAACGGUCGCGUAACACGUGGGCAACCUGCCCUGAAGCGGGGGACAACACACCGAAAGGUGUGCUAAUACCGCAUGUGAAUCGUGGUGGCAUCACCGAGGAUUCAAAGCCGCAAGGCACUUCAGGAUGGGCCCGCGGCCUAUCAGCUAGUUGGUGAGGUAACGGCCCACCAAGGCUUCGACGGGUAGCUGGUCUGAGAGGACGAUCAGCCGGAUUGGGACUGAGAUACGGCCCAGACUCCUACGGGGGCAGCAAUUAGGAAUCUUGCACAAUGGGCGAAAGCCUGAUGCAGCGACGUCGCGUGAAGGAUGAAAUCUUUCGGGAUGUAAACUUCUUUUAACGGGGAAGAAAAAAUGACGGUACCCGUUGAAUAAGCCCGGCUAACUACGUGCCAGCAGCCGC